UACGUAGGGUGCAAGCGUUGUCCGGAAUUAUUGGGCGUAAAGAGCUCGUAGGCGGUUGUCGCGUCGGCUGUGAAUCCCGAGGCUCAACCUCGGGCCUGCAGUCGAUACGGGCAAACUAGAGUGUGGUAGGGAGACGUGGAAUUCCUGGUGUAGGCGGUGAAUGCGCAGAGUAUCAGGAGGAACACCGGGCGGCGAAGGCGGGUCUCGUGGGCCAAUGAACUGACGCUGAGGAGCGAA
rnacentral:rRNA from 1 species